UUGGAGGGCAAGUCUGGUGCCAGCAGCCGCGGUAAUUCCAGCUCCAAUAGCGUAUAUUAAAGUUGUUGCAGUUAAAAAGCUCGUAGUUGAAUUUCGGGGUCAGUAGGCUGGUCGUGCCUCAGGUACGUACUGGUCUUACUGAUUCCUCCUUCCUGACGAACCGUAAUGCCAUUAAUUUGGUGUUGCGGGGAAUCUGGACUGUUACUUUGAAAAAAUUAGAGUGUUUAAAGCAGGCUAACGCUUGAAUACAUUAGCAUGGAAUAAUGAAAUAGGACGAUCGAUCCUAUUUUGUUGGUUUCUAGGAUUGACGUAAUGAUUAAUAGGGAUAGUUGGGGGCAUUAGUAUUCAAUUGUCAGAGGUGAAAUUCUUGGAUUUAUUGAAGACUAACUACUGCGAAAGCAUUUGCCAAGGAUGUUUUCAUUAAUCAAGAACGAAAGUUAGGGGAUCGAAGACGAUCAGAUACCGUCGUAGUCUUAACCAUAAACUAUGCCGACUAGGGGUCGGAUGAUGUUAAUUUUUUAAUGACUCAUUCGGCGCCUUACGGGAAA
rnacentral:rRNA from 1 species